GGGCCUCACUCAGUGCACUGCAGCACCAUUCCAGUGAUGCCUUGCGGGUGGAGAGUUGCAGGAUUGGUAAACUGAGGAAAGGAGCUCAGUCACAACCAGAGACCACCGAGGUUCGUUUCUAUUCUGUGGCCUCAGGUCUUUGGAAGAAGGAGGAAGGAAACACCAUCCAGGGACAUGGGAAAGCGACUCUAACGGUGCCUCCGGUUCUCUGUCCUCUUGGUUUCUCGGUCCUGCGCUUUAGGGACUGUGCAGCCUUUUACUUCUCUGCAGGAAGUAAAGGGAAAUAACGUUGAUUAGUCUCCACACUGGGGCUUUCCCGUGCCUUUCUCCCAGUAUUCCCCAGGAAAUUGAAAAAGCUGGGAGGGAAGAUCAAGAGGUUGCCAACAAGCAUGUCAGUUUCCAAAGCCUUGUCUGUUUUUCGUGUGGCAGGGCACCUGGUUAUCCACCACACCUUGCAUUUGAAGUCUCUGUCUCUCUCUAAGCAGUAAUAACGGCCAGCAUUUAUGUACCACUCUUCUGAGUGAUUUGCUUUUGUCAUUCCUUCUUCCCAACGUACUUUAGAGUGAUAUCAUCCUUGUGUUGUGGCAGCUGAGACAGUGGAGGUGACUCACUGUGGUUGUGCAGCUAAGAACACGAGAGGUGGUGGAAGAAAAUAGGUCUAUUGAAUAUACUUGUACCGGACAAUAACAAGAGUACCACAGCUGACAGCGUGAAGUUUGUCUUUGAGCCAGGUGGUGGUGGUUCUCACCUUUAAUCCCAGCACUCAGGAGGCAGAGACAGGUGGAUCUCUAAUGUGCUCCAGGCCAGAGAUUAUGACCUGUGAAUCACCUGUUAUAACACUAAAAGCCACAACCACAAAAUGGAGAAACUAGGCCUUGGCUUGGAUGAUGAGGGCAACAACCAGCACGCAGCAGCCCCACAGAGCCCAGUUGACUCUCACUCCUGAGCAUCCACGCUGCAAACAGGUUCUCAUAAAGGCCUGCCUCAACACCAAGUGUUCGUGCCCGAAGAUGAAGACGAUGCAGGACACCAAAGGCUGCAAACAGGAACCCAAUAGUGGACACCUCAUCUGCAGGCAGCAUUUUGCCCUCUGCUGGUACCAUGCCAAGCACUGCCAGGGGAAGGAUUGCCUGGUGCUAUCAUCUUCAAUCAAAAACUUCAAUAGCCACAGGUGCAGCAGCGGCUCCUAGCAUUUCAUUGCGGUGUAUGAAGAUGGCCAGCAUGGAAGGGACUGAUGUGGCAAACAGCAGCAGGACCUGCCGCCCCCAACUCCUGCUAUUCCAACCACCCCCACUGAUCAACAGCCAGCCACCUCACAGACACCUCAGGACUCACACUACUGGCCUUGUGUCCUAGGGUAAUGUAGCAGGCCAUGUGAUCCAUCAACUCUACCUCAGAGUGCUCAGCCCUCACUGGCAGGGCCUCCCCAUGGAGCAUCAAAAUGUAAAAAAAAAAAAAAAAAAAAAAUGAAGAAAAUAGAGGAGCAUCUUUUUUUCUUCUUCUUAUUUUCUUUUUUAGGGCUUAUUAUGUUUAAUUUGCUCAGGUCGGAACCAGAGGAAUUGUGUCAGAGAUGGUUCCUCUCCAUGGCCAUCAUGCACACAAGCUGGGGAUCACUUUGGCCUCCGUUGGUGUUUUCUGUAAGGUUCUUCUGGCCAAGAGCAGCAGGCUUGAUGAGAUACUGAGGACCUGCCGUGUUUCAGAGCAGAUCCAGCAGAGACUGAUACAUUAAAGCAUCCAGAGGAGGUCUCAACUGUGGUUGCUUUGCACCCCUGGGUCUUCUGGAUCCAGAGUGGCUUGUGCCUCUUUGUCAGCCUUGAGUUCUACCUGAGUUUGAACAACUAAUUGUUCCACGCGGCAGGUGUUCCUGGCCACUGUGUCUUCUGGUCCUGAGAGCUUUGCUGCUGCAGGCAAGGACAGGAGGACUCUCCCUGGCAGUGAAGCCUUUUCCUAGAGCAGGGCUGUGAGCUGCUACGUUUCCUGUGACCUGUGCUAUUCCGUGGCUCCCAACUGUUGGAAUACUCUUCUCCCAAGCUGUGAGGCUGGGUAUAUCCUGGCCCCCCUACUGCCAGGAUACUUCUCCAUCCAUUCCUUGGCUUGCAACUGCCAGGAUCCCUUUCUGUCUGAGCUGUGAUACUUUCUUGCACCUGGUUGUGGUUGAGGGAGUUGAAUUUGGCAUCAUGGAGACAUAGCAGGAAACAGGUAAGAGGGAAAGGACUCAGCCCUGCCGGGAAAGGGGACCCUGAAGGCCUCACUUGGAGGUGUGCCACAGCACCGUUUUAG